ACAUGAAGGAUUGUAAGACUGUGGAUACUCCUCUAGUUAAAAAGAAUAUGGAAAGAAGAACUGAUGGUCAAGAAGGAAGAGUGGAGAACCUUUAAAAGGCUUUAGUGACGCGGACUGGGCAAAUUGUCCGAUUGACAGAAGGUCGUACACUGGAUACACCUUCAAGUUAAGUGGAGGUCCAGUAUCCUGGGAGUCCAAGAAGCAGCCUACAGUGGCUUUAUCUUCAGCCGAAUCGGAAUAUAUGGCACUAGCGUCUGCCACGAAGGAAGCAUGCUACUUACGACGGUUUAUCUAUGAGAUAACAGGUACAUAUAGUUCAUUUAGCUUCUGACAGUCAGAGUGCCAUCAACCUCGUUCGAAAUCCUGUACACCACAACAGGACGAAACAUAUAGAUACCAGAUUUCACUUUAUUAGGGAAAAGGUCUCAAAUAAUGUUGUUAAAUUAGAAUACAUCAAAAGUAGUGAUAUGCCUGCCGAUGUACUAACGAAGCCACUAGGACCUAUAGUACAUAAACGGUGUAUACUUAACUUAGGAAUAGAGACUUAAGUUUUUUUGUUUUGUGUUUGUCU